ACACUUCAAGCUUUCUUUAGAUAUACUUCAUGUCAUUUUCGUUCAUUUUAGUGACUCGUUUCAGGAAGAUAUUCACGGAGACGGAGAAUGCAGAAAGCACACCCUAUUUGUUUUCUUUGUUUUACAAAACCAAAAAAUAAAAAAAUAAAAAGUUUUCUUGAUAUUGCGAGUGUAUACAAACAAUACUCAUGUAAUUUUUCAAUCAACAUUAAUGAAAGUACUAGAAGUUUCACUUUGUAGUGUAUUUUUUAGGUUUGAUAACUUAAGAGUAAAGGAAAAAUGGCGGAGGAAGGCAGUCGCUCGACAGGUGCUGCUGCACCCUUCCCAAAACAAACUGGGAGACCGCGAGAUCAUUUUUUUGUUAAGGGAAUUUAUGCAUCUUGGAACUCACGCAUCAAAUACAGUGGAACGGAAAACUCAUUGCAUCUCUGGGUAAUUCUAUGUGUGAUGUUUCUCCUACUGACUCAGCUGUGGGGAACUCGUGAACGCGAACGCCAUACUUUGUUGCAGGCCACGGCGUUCGCAGACUUGGCCGUGCCAAUGCCACUUGCUUCAUGGUGCCAAUACACCAUAUACUCAAACGUUUUAAAUGACGGAAGAGCGUGUGCUCGUAGCGCGCUGUGCGAGCGGCGCUGCUCCAGACCGACGGUACCAGCGAGUCGGACUCGAGGAUAUUCUGUCUUUCUCUGCAUGGUUCUGCUUCUAUGUGGGGAUAUUCAUCUAAACCCGGGGCCUAUGGAUCAUCAAGAUCGUGUGAACAUUCUAAAAUCAGCUGUUUCCGCUCAUGUGGUGAAAUCGCCGGCGUCGCUGACCCAUAUCCAAGACUCUAGCGUGGGAAAACGAGGUAACCCCCUGACAAACUCUGCUUCUAAAUUCAUUCCUGAGAACAUAUUAAAAGCAGUGAUCCACGCAAAGCCAGCAGCAACUGCAAAUACGGCCGCCUUACUUAAACAGCAGCAAAUGAAACUGUUUCAGACUGUGAAUCAUGCGAGCGUACUUUGGAACCCGAAAACAAAGCCGAAGGGUAUUUUCGGAGGACACUUAAACAUCCGCAGCAUCGUUUCGAAGACUGAGCAAAUUCAACAUUUGUUGACAGAUUCAAAUCUGGAUUAUCUGUGCUUAACGGAAACUUGGUUAACUCCUAAUAUUCCCUCUUCUAUAGUGAAAGUGUCGGGAUACACCUUGUAUAGACGCGACAGAAACAAAGGUAAAGGCGGCGGUGUGCUGAUUUAUGUAAGAGAUCACAUCCAAAGUAAACAACUGGAUAUCAGUGACUGUAACUUGGA
ensembl:lncRNA